rnacentral:rRNA from 1 species
GACGAACGCUGGCGGCGUGCUUAACACAUGCAAGUCGAACGGUGAAGCGCCUUCCUUUUUGGUGGGUGUGGAUGAGUGGCGAACGGGUGAGUAACACGUGAGUAACCUGCCCCCUUCUUCUGGAUAACCGCAUGAAAGUGUGGCUAAUACGGGAUAUUCUGGGUCUGUCGCAUGAUGGGUCUGGGAAAGAUAUUGUUUCGGUGGGGGAUGGGCUCGCGGCCUAUCAGCUUGUUGGUGGGGUGAUGGCCUACCAAGGCGGUGACGGGUAGCCGGCCUGAGAGGGUGGACGGUCACACUGGGGCGGAGACACGGCCCAGACUCCGACGGGAGGCAGCAGUGGGGAAUAUUGCACAAUGGGCGGAAGCCUGAUGCAGCGACGCCGCGUGAGGGAUGGAGGCCUGCGGGUUGUGAACCUCUUUCGCCAGUGAAGCAGGCCUGCCUCGUUUGUGGGUGGGUUGACGGUAGCUGGAUAAGAAGCGCCGGCUAACUACGUG